rnacentral:tRNA from 1 species
GCGUAGCUCAGUUGGUUAGAGCGCCUGCUUGACAUGCAGGAGGUCGGCGGUUCGAGUCCGCCCGUG